GUCUUCUUGUUAUAUUUAGGAAGUCUGGCCUGCCCAGUGAAAAUAAUUUAACGGCCGCGGUAUACUGACCGUGCAAAGGUAGCAUAAUCAUUAGUCUUUUAAUAGAGGGCUGGUAUGAAGGGUUUAACGAGGUGUUGACUGUCUCAUUUAAUUUGAACUUAGAAUUUAAUUUUUUAGUUAAAAAGCUAAAAUUUUAUUGGAAGACGAGAAGACCCUAUAGAGCUUUAUAUUUUUACUAUUAAUUUAUUAUAGAUUAUUAUUAUUUAUUAUUGGUAUAAAAUAUUUUGUUGGGGUGACAAAAAUAUAUAAAUAACUUUUUUAUUUCAUUUACAUUGCUAUAUGAAUAUUAGAUCCAAUCUUAUUGAUUGUUAGAUUAAGUUACCUUAGGGAUAACAGCGUAAUCCCUCUCCAGAGUUCAUAUUUACAGAGGGGCUUGCGACCUCGAUGUUGGAUUAAGAUAAUAAUUAGGUGUAGCCGCUUAAUUAAUAGGUCUGUUCGACCUUUAAAUUCUU
rnacentral:rRNA from 1 species